rnacentral:rRNA from 1 species
UACGGAGGGUGCGAACGUUAAUCGGAAUCACUGGGCGUAAAGCGCGCGUAGGCGGUUCGUUAAGUGGGAUGUGAAAUCCCCGGGCUUAACCUGGGAAUUGCAUUUCAAACUGGCCGACUAGAGUACGGUAGAGGGAGGUAGAAUUUCCUGUGUAGCGGUGAAAUGCGUAGAUAUAGGAAGGAAUACCAGUGGCGAGGGCGGCCUCCUGGAUCGAUACUGACGCUGAGGCGCGAAAGCGUGGGGAGCAAACAGG